rnacentral:lncRNA from 1 species
AAGAACUUCCAGAGGCUCCACCACAGGGUGCAUUCCCAGCACACAAGCUGGUUGGAAUUUUCCAGAGGGAAGCUCUCUAUGGACGACUGCCCCAGCCACAUUGUUUUGUGAGAACACCCGAUGGAAAACAAUAUAGAAGAUCUUCCUAUCCCUUGGAUCAGUCCCUCUGGGGAAAGCACGCUGACAUUUUUGAGCAGCCCUUGGAAGAAGAUUUCAUGCCGAAAACUGGUCUCUACCUAAAACCGGAGAAGACAAAAGCCCUUGGACAACCACAUGAGUGACCUAAGCUAUUCCCUUAUUCCUGACACUCAGAAACUAAGAUUGUAAAUGAUUGUUUUAAGCUCUUGAAUUUUGUGAUCUCUUUUAUGUACCAGUAGAUAACUAAUGCAGUCUAUAAUGAAUUUAUAAAGAGACUGAGACAAAGGAGUACGUGACUUCGUAAAGCUACUCAGGCAGCUAAUGACUAUGCUACACACUCUUGCUUGCCUAAAAAUGUUUAUCCGCCAACAUAUCGCUUAUUAAUAUAAACCCAAUUAAGUUAUCCUUCAGUGAAGAAUGAACCUUUCACUAAUCCCAGGUAAAGAAUCUUUGUUGUUCGAUAUCAGUCAUGGUAAUUCAAUUUUCUUGACAUUAAUUGUGAAACCAACCCAACAGUCCCAUGGAUGUUUCUUUGGAUAAUAUAGAAAUUGAUCUUUCUGAUCUUAAAGCUUGAAGCUUACAUUUGUUUUAUCACUAUUCCUUCCUCAGGAAAGACCACCAGACCUCUGAAAAAGUAUCAAAGAACUGAGACUCUCCAGGUCAUCACAUCUAGACAAUAGGAGACCUCAGGCCCCUUAUUCAUCACGAUUGCUGUCUUCCCUUCCUUAGUUCUUGUUUUCCCACACAUAGUUAGAUUACUUCCCUGCUAUAUAAAUCCCUAAUUUUAGUUGGUUAGGGAUAUAGAUUUGAGCCUGAUCUCUCAUCUCUUUAUAGCUGCAACAUCCAGUUAAAGCCUUCUUCUUUGGCAAUAAUCAUUGGCCCAGUGAUUGGCUUUCUGUGUGGCAAGCAGCAGGACCUAGACCAAACCCCUGGUGUUUCAGUAACAACUGGCUGAUAUUUUAGAGAACAGUGUAUAGCAAAACACUGGCCACCAAGGGAACAUUAUUGAAGCGCAUCAAGUAAGUUCUUUUCCAAUUAUAAGAGAUGUUGGAUGCAAAAUAUAUUUUUAAUGUUUAUUUAUUUAUUUACUUCUGCUUGGCAUUAUCAUAUCUGCAUCUAAUACCUGAAAUUAUUGGAUCCAUCUUGGGGACAAGAGAAGUAGUAGGCAUGUUAUAGACUUAAUGUUUGUAUCCUCUCAACAUUGAUAUGUUUAAGCUCUAACCCCAGUGUGUUGGUUUUGAAGGUGGAGACUUUGGGAAGUAAUUAGGUUUAGAUGAAGGGUGUGUGGGUGGCCUUUAUGAAUUAGUGUCUUAUAAAAGGAGAAGAAAUUGGAGAUCCUUCUCCCUUCUACUCCCUCCCACUUGCUGAUAUCAGGAAAGGCCAUGUGAGGCUGCAGUGAGAAGGUGGCCACUUGCAAACCAAGAAGUUGGCCCUCGACAAGAACUGAAUUGGCUGAAACCAUAAUCUUAGACUUUCCAGCCUUCAGAACUCUGAGAAAUAAAUGUCUGUUGUCUAAGCUACCCAGUUUUUGAUAUUUUAUUGUGGCAGCGUGGACUGAUUAUAGCAAGGUUAACUGGAAAAGCAGAGAAAAAUAUGCAAAAAUUAUAAAAUAACUCUAUAUCUCUCAUAUAGCACACUUGGCAUACUGUUUAAGCUAUUUCUGUUUAUGUCUUUUGUCACCUGAAAGUAUUUUCAUGGAUAAAAACAUCAGAGUCAAGAGUAGAAGUAGCUAGUCAAUCCUACUACAAUUUUCUCUAUAAUUCAUUUUUCUGGGUCCCAGCAUGCUCUUGUUAUGGCAAGCAAUUGCCAAUUUUCUCUAAAAUUCAGGAAUUACAUGCAAGAACAGACAUGGACAAGUAUUAUGUGUCAUUGACUCAUCAGCUAGCCAGGCUAUUACUUUUUUUUUCUUUGUUUCAUUUCUUGCUUUUUUUUUUUUUUUUUCUGAGAUGGAGUCUCAGUCUCAUUCUGUAGCCCAGGCUGGAGUGCAGUGGCAUGAUCUUGGCUCACUGCAACCUCAACCUCCUGGGUUCAAGCAAUUCUCCUGCCUCAGCCUCCCGAGUACCUGGGAAUACAGGUGCGCAUCACCACACACAGCUAAUUUUUGUAUUUUUAGUAGAGAUGGGGUGUCAUUAAGUUGGGCAGGCCAGUCUUGAACUCCUAACCUCAGGUGUUCCACCUGCCUCGGCUUCCCAAAGUGCUGGGA